UUUUUUUUUUUACCUUUACAACCACUUUAAGACUUUGUAAACUACCCUCCAAACCAUAUAUUUUCUGAAUGCACAAAACCAGUAGAAUAAAAACGAUGGUGCUGCUGAUUUUGUAGGUCUUGUGAUAGUUGGGUAUCCAUGAUGAGUUUGUUUUUAUGAAAAAAAUAAAAAACAUUGUUGGCGCUUAUGAACACAGCAAUUCCUAAUGAGUCUAAAAGCUAAAACUGUUAUGUUAUGUUUUGUAAAUUUUAUAAAUUGUGCCUUUUUGUGAAAAUUGAAGGAACGCAAAACUGUAAAUAAGCCACUUGCACUAGUAAUCUGAAAGUUGACGUCGCACAACCAUAUGUCGUGGUAACACUUGAUCCGCGGUACAUUGUGAGUGAUGCAUUGGUAUGUAUUGCAAUAAAACGAUGCUGCCAAGAGCUGAAUGAAUGCAAUUGUAAAAAAAGCAAUGUGCUCCAUUGUAACAAAGCACUUUGGCACUUGUGCAAAACACAAAUGCAGGUAAUAUACACCAUAAUGUGCGCCCACAAUUCUGAUGAUGGAAGGGGGCUUUGGUGUAAUUUCAGGGUCCUCUGUCUUUUUUGGCAGUUGCAGCACAGCUGUGCCCUGUAAAGAGGCUUCCUGUUCCUUCACAAACUUAGACAGUGAAUGUUGUUUACUAUGUCCCUCAGGCCCCCAGAAAUCAUUUUUUAACUCCUUGUAAUAUAGGUUGAUACCCAUGCUGACCUCUCUUGUAACAUAAAUGUUCUUGGAGAUUGUUUUUAAUGCAGUUUAUGUCAUAAUAAAAUUAACGGGAUUUA